GACUGCUCCAGUGGCCUAAGUGGUUAAAGCAUCCACCUCAGAAGCAAAAGGUCAUGGGUUUGAACCCCUGCUGAGUCA